rnacentral:miRNA from 1 species
ACGAAUAUGUUCGCCACCACAGAAACAUAACUAAAUAUAUUGUAUUUUUUGUAUUUUUAUGAUUUAUGACAAAACUAGGCAAAUAUUUAUUGUUUUUAUUAUAAAUCAUAAAAAUACAAUAAAUACAAUAUAUUUAGUUAUGUUUCUGUGGUGGCGAACAUAUUCGU